rnacentral:ncRNA from 1 species
GAUAGAGGUUGCGGUCUGCAUGAGUAUGCAUCGUCAGGGAACCGGUUCCCGAUGAGCCUUGCAGAAAGGGAAGAUCGCCGAAGGGUCCCCUCCGCCGGAAUGAGUGGGCCUCUGGUCGUCUGGUUAAGAGCUUGCCGACUGUCAUCAGGGGAACUGAUGGAGCGCUGUCUG